rnacentral:rRNA from 1 species
AGUCGUACGAGAGUUUUUAACUCAAGUGGCGGACGGGUGAGUAACACGUAAGAAUUUGCCUUUAGGAGGGGGACAACAACUGGAAACGGUUGCUAAUACCCCAUAUGCUUUCGAGUGAAAUGGAUUUUUCCGCCUAGAGAGAAGCUUGCGGCUGAUUAGCUUGUUGGUGAGGUAAUGGCUCACCAAGGCGACGAUCAGUAUCUGGUUUGAGAGGACGAUCAGACACACUGGAACUGAGACACGGUCCAGACUCCUACGGGAGGCAGCAGUGGGGAAUUUUCCGCAAUGGGCGAAAGCCUGACGGAGCAAUACCGCGUGAGGGAUGACGGCCUAUGGGUUGUAAACCUCUUUUUUCAGGGAGGAAUAAAAUGACGUGUACCUGAAGAAUAAGCAUCGGCUAACUCCGUGCCAGCAGCCGCGGUAAGACGGAGGAUGCAAGUGUUAUCCGGAAUCACUGGGCGUAAAGCGUCUGUAGGUGGUCCAAUAAGUCAACUGUUAAAUCUUGAGGCUCAACCUCAAAACCGCAGUCGAAACUAUUAGACUAGAGUAUAGUAGGGGUAAAGGGAAUUUCCAGUGGAGCGGUGAAAUGCGUAGAGAUUGGAAAGAACACCGAUGGCGAAGCACUUUACUGGGCUAUUACUAACACUCAGAGACGAAAGCUAGGGUAGCAAAUGGGAUUAGAUACCCCAGUAGUCCUAG